GAAGGUAUAGCUCAAGUGGUAGAGUGCGUGCUUAAUAUGCACCAGGUCCUGGGUUCAAUCCCCAGUACCUUCU
rfam:Camelus ferus unplaced genomic scaffold scaffold1913, whole genome shotgun sequence.